AUUUUUGUUCGAUCAAACUAAAGGGUAAUAAUUUAUGUUGAACCCAUAUUUUUUUCAGUCUUAUUCGAUAGAUCAAACUUCAAUCACAUCUAUGGAUCUUCAUGAUUUUCGAAAGAAAUCUCAACCAUUAAAUGGGGUUUAAAACCCUAAUAUUUAAGCCUUAUUUCUAGAUGAGGAAGAGAUGACUGUGACAAUGAGAAACCCU
rnacentral:lncRNA from 1 species